UACGUAGGGGGCAAGCGUUAUCCGGAUUUAUUGGGCGUAAAGAGCUCGUAGGCGGCCGUUCGCGUCGGAUGUGAAAGCUCAGGGCUCAACUCUGAGACGCCAUUCGAUACGGGACGGCUAGAGGUAGGUAGGGGAGAGUGGAAUUCCUGGUGUAGCGGUGAAAUGCGCAGAUAUCAGGAGGAACACCGGUGGCGAAGGCGGCUCUCUGGGCCUUACCUGACGCUGAGGCGCGAAAGCGUGGGGAGCGAACAGG
rnacentral:rRNA from 1 species